rnacentral:rRNA from 1 species
CCUACGGGUGGCAGCAGUGGGGAAUCUUGGGCAAUGGGCGCAAGCCUGACCCAGCAACGCCGCGUGAAGGAAGAAGGCUUUCGGGUUGUAAACUUCUUUUCUGAGGGACGAAGAAAGUGACGGUACCUCAGGAAUAAGCCACGGCUAACUACGUGCCAGCAGCCGCGGUAAUACGUAGGUGGCAAGCGUUAUCUGGAUUUAUUGGGAGUAAUGGGCGAGUAGGCGGGAAUGCAAGUCUGAUGUGAAAACACAGGGCUCAACCCUGGGCUUGCAUUUGAAACUGUGUUUCUUGAGUGCUGGAGAGGGAAUCGGAAUUCCGUGUGUAGCGGUGAAAUGCGUAGAUAUACGGAGGAACACCAGUGGCGAAGGCGGAUUGCUGGACAGUAACUGACGCUGAGGCGCGAAAGCGUGGGGAGCAAACAGGAUUAGAUACCCUAGUAGUC